rnacentral:rRNA from 1 species
AUGCAAGUCGUACGAGAAAAGGUCCUUCGGGACCUGAGUACAGUGGCGGAAGGGUGAGUAAUGCCUAGAUAACCUACCCUCGUACUGGGGAUAACAGCUGGAAACGGCUGCUAAUACCGAAUGAUGCCAAGGAGUCGCAUGAUUCUUUGGUGAAAGGUGGGGAUCCUUCGGGACCUGCCAUAUGAGGAGGGAUCUAGGUCCUAUCAGCUUGUUGGUGAGGUAACGGCUCACCAAGGCUCUGACGGGUAGCCGGCCUGAGAGGGUGACCGGCCACACUGGGACUGAGACACUGCCCAGACUCCUACGGGAGGCUGCAGUCGAGAAUCUUCGGCAAUGGGCGAAAGCCUGACCGAGCGACGCCGCGUGGAGGAUGAAGGCCUUCGGGUUGUAAACUCCUGUCACGGGUUAUGAAUACUGUGAGCGUUAAUACCGCUCAUGACUGACAAAGGCCCGAGAGGAAGUCAUGGCUAACUCUGUGCCAGCAGCCGCGGUAAUACAGAGAUGGCAAGCGUUGUUCGGAAUUACUGGGCAUAAAGGGCACGUAGGCGGCCUCAUAAGUCAGGUGUGAAAUCCCUCGGCUCAACCGAGGAACUGCGCCUGAAACUGUGGAGCUUGAGGGCAGGAGGGGAGAGUGGAACUCUUAGUGGAGCGGUGAAAUGCGUAGAUCCCAAGAGGAACGCCGGCGGCGAAAGCGACUCUCUGGCCUGUUUCUGACGCUGAGGUGCGAAAGCUAGGGGAGCAAACAGGAUUAGAUACCCUGGUAGUCCUAGCCGUAAACGAUGGGCACUAAGUAGAGGGGUUUU